rnacentral:lncRNA from 1 species
AAUUACGUGGGUCCCCAGCAAGUCAAUCCUAUCACCCUCCUUCAAAAAAAAGCAAGAUCAAAGGGCGACCAAAGGCAUAAAGGCUAUAGCAGAGUUAGAAUUUGGAGGAAACUCGAGAUGUUUCAUUGCCAUUGCAAUUAUCAUUUUCUUUUCGCAAUCACCUCUUUUAGGAAUUGCUUUCCUUUGUACAAAAUUCCCUAUUUGUGGAACCACUUGUCA